UACAGGGGGGGGCAAGCGUUUGUUCGGAAUUACUGGGCGUAAAGGGCGCGUAGGCGGCCAACUAAGUCACACGUGAAAUCCCCAGGCUUAACCUGGGAACUGCGUGUGAUACUGGAUGGCUUGAAUUCGGGAGAGGGAUGCGGAAUUCCAGGUGUAGCGGUGAAAUGCGUAGAUAUCUGGAGGAACACCGGUGGCAAAGGCGGCAUCCUGGACCGACAUUGACGCUGAGGCGCGAAAGCUAGGGGAGCAAAACGGG
rnacentral:rRNA from 1 species